rnacentral:lncRNA from 1 species
UGGUGGUGGCAGGGAUUAUUUGCUUUACCAGUUUGGAUUGUGAUUUGUUGUGUUACUGACCUGACCUACAAAGAGAUCUCUCCUUUCCGUUCUUACAAACUAGUUUAAACCCUACGUCUUAUAAGUUGAAGAACUUUCCUGUCUUUAAAUUGCACCAUUCCUACCAAACCUCCCUACACACACACACACACCCCCUGCCAUCAAAUGAUUGUUCUCCUUACUUUGGUGUUCCUUAAAGAAGACACACACUUGACUUUUUAAGCAUUUAUCUUAACCAUCCUUCUCUUCCCCCCUCCAAAUGCCUGGAACACUCCCACUCCCUCCUUCUCAUCUUCACCUCCUGGCUUCCCUGGCUUUCUUCAAGUCUCAGUUAACAUCCCAUCUUUGGCAAAGAAGCCUGGCUGCCUCCUUUCUUCACAACAUCAGGGCCAUAGUCACGAGUUCCUUUAUUAAAUAGGUAAUCAGAUAUAUGCCUUUGAAUUCUAGAAGGAAAGAAAAAGCCAAGUAUGAUUAAUUAUUCUUUUAGUAUGGAAACCAGGCGCUCAUUUUUAAGCUAAUAAUUGUAUAGGCAUGUGCCAGUGUAUGCUAUUUGAUAUUAUGUAUGUACAUCAUUAGGUGGUAAUUAGCUUGGUUGCCAGUUUUUAAUACAACAUUUUAAAAUCGUUAUUUUUAAACCAUCUUUACCUUACCUCUAACCCUCUUCAGAUUUGAAUAUCAACAUGGCUUUCUAAGCCAAAGAGAGCUAAGAACGCCUUCAGAAACAAAAAACAAAGAGGUGAUACCAACUCCAUCCCGAAGUACCUCAGUUUUGGGCCCUGGUAAUUCCUCUACCGGUCCCACAAAGAACCCGUUGAGCUUUCUUCCAACACUAUCUUCAAAAGAUGAUGAUGAAACCUCUAACAGAUGGUUAGAUGAGGAUGGAGGUGAUGAGAUACCUUAUUGUGUAUCACCUGAUAUCAGUGACUUUGAUAUCAGUGAUUUUGACUCCUCUUCUGACUCAAGUACUCACCUACUGGAUAAAUCUUAAUUUCUAAAGAGAUUUUACAUUUCUGCCAUUUGUGUGUAGUAGUCUGUAUAGUCUACAUUUAAACAUGUUUAUAAGAUACAUUUAGUUUGGGUUCUUCUUUUGUAGACAGAGGGAGUUUUUCUGAUGCAAGUUGAUCAGCUCACUUCCUUUCUCUCUCAAAAUUAUGGAUUGCCUGUCUCCUCAACAGAUCCAGAUAAUGAAAAGUUAAAUUGUUAGGGUCAUUGAUAACUGAUAACCCAUCCAAAGAUGCCAUCAGGAGGAGGACAUUGGAAAGGCAACACUUCAUUUUUUUGCUCCCAAAGCCCCCUCGACACAUUUUAACAGUGCUUUGUAGGAGGGAUUCAGAGUUGGAUUCUAGGCAACACAGAACAUCCUCUUGAGAAGUCUUUGGAAAGUUCCUUCACAUCCCAAUCAGUUUCAGGCUAUAAUGUGUGUGUAUUCAUAUCUUUCUGUUGUAUUCAGCAUGUGGAGUUAAGUACAUUAAAUAAACAUAUAUAUA